ensembl:miRNA
GUAAGGUUCUCCUUGCUCAGGACUUUAGCAGGACGUCUACCUCUGACCCUCCAGGAGAAUAGGGUCAUGGGUGGACUUCCUGCUAAAGUCCUGAGCACAGUCAGCAGGAAC